UACGUAGGAUGCAAGCGUUGUCCGGAUUUAUUGGGUUUAAAGGGUGCGUGGGCGGCCUAUUUAGUUAGUGGUGAAAACGUUCGGCUUAACGGGAUACCCGCCAUUGAUACUGAUAGUCUUGAGUGCGACAGAGGGUGUUGGAAUGUGUGGUGUAGCGGUGAAAUGCUUAGAUAUCACGCAGAACACCAAUUGCGAAGGCAGAUGCCUAUGUCGUAACUGACGCUGAGGCACGAAAGCGUGGGGAGCAAACAGG
rnacentral:rRNA from 1 species